rnacentral:rRNA from 1 species
GAUGAACGCUGGCGGCGUGCCUAAUACAUGCAAGUCGAGCGAACAGACCAGGAGCUUGCUCCUCUGACGUUAGCGGCGGACGGGUGAGUCACAUGUGGAUAACCUACCUCUAAGACUGGGAUAAUUUCGGGAAACCGGCUCUAAUACCGGAUGAUCUAUUGCCCCGCGUGGGUCACUAGUUAGAUUCGGUUUUUGGGUCUCUAAUAGCUGGAUCCGCGCCGCUUUAGUUGGUUGGUACGGAAAAGGUUUACCAAGGCGAGGAUGCGUAGCCGGCCGAAGAGGGGGGUCGGCCACACUGGAAGUGAGCCAGGGACCAGACUCCUACGGGAGGCAGCAGACGGGAAUCUUACGCAAUGGGCGAAAGCCUGACGGAGCAACGCCGCGUGAGUGAUGACGGUCUUCGGAUCGGAAAGCUCUGUUAGUAGUGAAGAACAAAUGUGUAAUUAACUAUGCACGUCUUGACGGUACCGAAUCAGAAAGCCCCGGCUAACUACGUG